UAAAUACGUAGGAGGCAAGCGUUAUCCGGAUUUACUGGGCGUAAAGCGGGCGUAGGCGGCCUUUCAAGUCGGGUGUGAAAUCUCCCGGCUUAACUGGGAGGGUGCAUCGGAAACUGAUGGGCUAAAGUACAGCAGAGGGAAGUGGAAUUCCCGGUGUAGUGGUAAAAUGCGUAGAUAUCGGGAGGAACACUAGUGGCGAAAGCGGCUUUCUGGGCUGCUACUGACGCUGAGGUCCGAAGGCGUGGGGAGCAAACAGGAUUAGAUACCCUGGUAGUCCACGCAGUAAACGAUGGACACUAGGUAUGGGGAGUAUCGACCCUUUCUGUGCCGAAGCUAACGCUUUAAGUGUCCCGCCUGGGGACUACGGUCGCAAGACUA
rnacentral:rRNA from 1 species